rnacentral:rRNA from 1 species
AGCAGCCGCGGUAAUUCCAGCUCCAAUAGCGUAUAUUAAAGUUGUUGCAGUUAAAAAGCUCGUAGUUGAAUUUCGGAAUCUGUCCGUUGGUCGGGCUUAAUUGUCCGUACUGAUGUGAUGGGUUCUUACCUUCUGAAUAACCAGCAUGUCAUUAAUUUGGUGUGUUGGGGAAGCAGGACUAUUACCUUGAAAAAUUAGAGUGCUCAAAGCAGGCUAGCGCCUGAAUACAUUAGCAUGGAAUAAUAAAAUAGGACGGCAUGGUUCUAUUUUGUUGGUUUCUAGGAUCACCGUAAUGAUUAAUAGGGAUAGUUGGGGGCAUUAGUAUUCAAUUGUCAGAGGUGAAAUUCUUGGAUUUAUUGAAGACUAACUUCUGCGAAAGCAUUUGCCAAGGAUGUUUUCAUUAAUCAAGAACGAAAGUUAGGGGAUCGAAGACGAUCAGAUACCGUCGUAGUCUUAACCAUA